UACAGAGGUCUCGAGCGUUGUUCGGAUUCAUUGGGCGUAAAGGGCGCGUAGGCGGCGGGGUAAGUCUGGUGUGAAAUCUCGGAGCUCAACUCCGAAAUUGCACUGGAUACUGCUCUGCUAGAGGGCUGGAGAGGAGAUCGGAAUUCACGGUGUAGCAGUGAAAUGCGUAGAUAUCGUGAGGAAGACCAGUGGCGAAGACGGAUCUCUGGACAGCUCCUGACGCUGAGGCGCGAAGGCUAGGGGAGCAAACGGG
rnacentral:rRNA from 1 species